rnacentral:rRNA from 1 species
AACGCCGCGUGGAGGACGAAGAUCUUCGGGUCGUAAACUCCUGUCGAGCGGGAAGAAACCGCGGGGAUGAAUAUCCCUGCGGCUGACGGUACCGCUAAAGGAAGCCCCGGCUAACUCCGUGCCAGCAGCCGCGGUAAUACGGGGGGGGCAAGCGUUGUUCGGAAUUACUGGGCGUAAAGGGCUCGUAGGCGGCCAACUAAGUCGGAUGUGAAAUCCCCAGGCUCAACCUGGGAACUGCAUCCGAUACUGGAUGGCUUGAAUCCGGGAGAGGGAUGCAGAAUUCCAGGUGUAGCGGUGAAAUGCGUAGAUAUCUGGAGGAAUACCGGUGGCGAAGGCGGCAUCCUGGACCGGCAUUGACGCUGAGGAGCGAAAGCCAGGGGAGCAAACGGGAUUAGAUACCCCGGUAGUCCUGGCCCUAAACGAUGAAUGCUUGGUGUGACGGGUAUCGAUCCCUGUCGUGCCGAAGCUAACGCAUUAAGCAUUCCGCCUGGGGAGUACGGUCGCAAGGCUG